CCAACUUCAUCAUCGGCAUAUGCUGAAGAUCCCACAAUCGGUCCAUCACCCACCCUGCAUCACGGAAAGCAUUUCUUCGAUGACUGGAUGGUUAGAUCAAAAGGGGAGCCGGCCGAAAGUUUUAUGUAAAUAUGUAGAUCUAUUGCAAGCACCUUUUAGAUGGGCAACUUGUUAUUUGCUCUUCGAAGAGGAAAGGAAUGGGUCUCUCAGAUCUGCACGAGAAGAACAAUUUUAAAAUCUUGUAAUUUUGAGUGGGUCACCCAGUAAUGGGUCUCUCAGAAUCGAGUGGGUCUUCGUCAGGAAGAGCCGAUCGGAGCUGGACCCAGGCCGGUGGCUGAAAAUUGCGACGAUUAGAGGUGUGGCGGCUAUCCUAGACGCGAUGAAGUGGGCGAUUUUCGAUCAAAAUGCUCAGAUCCGUGAGGGCCCACGUCGCGAAGGACAUAUUAGGGCUGGGUUUGGUCUGGAGUAUGAACGGCAGCCACGAGAGAUGGAGAUCGUCGCUGGGUUGAGGCCGGAUGUGGAGAUGGAGCGUCGGAAUCGUCAUUUCAUAAUAGUAUGGAAUUUUGUUAUUGUGUGAAAUUACUCUGGAAUUUUUUUGCCCUAAUUGACCUUAUUUUGAACAUUUCAGGAUUUGACCUAAAUUAUUUAUUUACCUUUGCAA